rnacentral:rRNA from 1 species
GACGAACGCUGGCGGCGUGCUUAACACAUGCAAGUCGAACGGAAGGCCCCUUCGGGGGUACUCGAGUGGCGAACGGGUGAGUAACACGUGAGUAACCUGCCCUUGACUUCGGGAUAACUUCAGGAAACUGGGGCUAAUACCGGAUAGGAAUCCUUGCUGCAUGGUGGGGGUUGGAAAGCUUCGGCGGUUUUGGAUGGACUCGCGGCUUAUCAGCUUGUUGGUGGGGUAGUGGCUUACCAAGGCUUUGACGGGUAGCCGGCCUGAGAGGGCGACCGGCCACAUUGGGACUGAGAUACGGCCCAGACUCCUACGGGAGGCAGCAGGGGGGAAUAUUGCACAAUGGGCGGAAGCCUGAUGCAGCAACGCCGCGGGCGGGAGGACGGCCUUCGGGUUGUAAACCGCGUUCAGCAGGGGCGAAGCUUGUGGUGACGGUACCUGCAGAAGAAGCACCGGCUAACUACGUG